rnacentral:lncRNA from 1 species
GGGUGAAUAUCGUUAUAAUAAAAAUUAGCGUAAACUUACGGAAUUUAAAAAUUGCAGGAAAUGAAUAAGUGCGAUAAGUAAAUAAAUUAGAACAAACGCACCGAUAUAUCCUGGUUCACCACAACCCGUGGCUAGUCCAGUCCCGAGAGGCUCUCUCGAGAUUUCCACUAACUUGUCAAGCUUCCGGGUGCUUAACAAACCUUUACAACUUGAGGACAAAAGCCUCAACACCUUUGCUCGGAGAUACAACACUCCAAGACUUCAACCAAAGGAAACACAAGUUCCUUC